rnacentral:rRNA from 1 species
UACGAGGGGGGCAAGCGUUGUUCGGAAUUAUUGGGCGUAAAGGGCGCGUAGGCGGUUUGGCAAGUCUAGUGUGAAAUCUUCGGGCUCAACUCGAAGUCUGCACUGGAAACUGCCGGGCUUGAGUAUGGGAGAGGUGAGUGGAAUUUCCGGUGUAGCGGUGAAAUGCGUAGAUAUCGGAAGGAACACCUGUGGCGAAGGCGGGUCUCUGGGCCGAUAUUGACGCUGAGGAGCGAAAGCGUGGGGAGCGAACAGG